ACCUGCGGAGGGAUCAUUACAAGUGACCCCGGUCUAACCACCGGGAUGUUCAUAACCCUUUGUUGUCCGACUCUGUUGCCUCCGGGGCGACCCUGCCUUCGGGCGGGGGCUCCGGGUGGACACUUCAAACUCUUGCGUAACUUUGCAGUCUGAGUAAACUUAAUUAAUAAAUUAAAACUUUUAACAACGGAUCUCUUGGUUCUGGCAUCGAUGAAGAACGCAGCGAAAUGCGAUAAGUAAUGUGAAUUGCAGAAUUCAGUGAAUCAUCGAAUCUUUGAACGCACAUUGCGCCCCCUGGUAUUCCGGGGGGCAUGCCUGUUCGAGCGUCAUUUCACCACUCAAGCCUCGCUUGGUAUUGGGCAACGCGGUCCGCCGCGUGCCUCAAAUCGACCGGCUGGGUCUUCUGUCCCCUAAGCGUUGUGGAAACUAUUCGCUAAAGGGUGUUCGGGAGGCUACGCCGUAAAACAACCCCAUUUCUAAGGUGACCUCGGAUC
rnacentral:sRNA from 1 species